CUUAACAGAUAAUGAAUUCACUAGAUGCUAAUGCUUAAUAAAUGAUUCAUAGUGUGUAGUUAUUAUGAAGAGUUACCGAAAUGUUUGAUCAACACAGUCUGUUUAAUUGAGAUCUUUCAGUUAAAGAGGAGGAAUGUUGGAGAGCUGUUAUCAGAGCUUUUACAGCAAACCAAGACUCAAGAGCCUACAGAUUUUGAUUCUCCUGGAGGACAAGCCUGCAGACUUCUUUAAACCAUGCUUUGACUCUGAUGAUCCAGUCAUUCCACCACCUUGAAAUCCUAUUCUUAUUGCAGACAAAGCCUCAGUUAAGAUGAUCAUUGAGGGACAACUUGUGAUGGACUGCAUCAAAGACUUGUCAAAAGCUGUGCAUUCUCUUUGGACUACUAUACCCCAAGUCGACGAAGAACACUUUUCUCUUCAUCCAACAAAUUUCUCCUCAUGUUGGGCUACAGUGACUUAAAGCCCAAGCUACAGACAUUAAAUAAUUAAAUUGCUUUUCGAUUCACUGCAAAAUUUGCACAAUUGUUCUAUUAGCAAUGAUUGCUAAUGCCAGAAAGAAAUGUGAAUGAAACUUUAACAAAAAUAAAAAAAUUGAAAGGUU